GCAUAUCAAAAAGCGGAGGAAAAGAAACCAACAGGGAUUGCCUUAGUAACGGCGAGUGAAGCGGCAAAAGCUCAAAUUUGAAAUCUGGCACCUUCGGUGUCCGAGUUGUAAUUUGAAGAAGGUAACUUUGGAGUUGGCUCUUGUCUAUGUUCCUUGGAACAGGACGUCACAGAGGGUGAGAAUCCCGUGCGAUGAGAUGCCCAAUUCUAUGUAAAGUGCUUUCGAAGAGUCGAGUUGUUUGGGAAUGCAGCUCUAAGUGGGUGGUAAAUUCCAUCUAAAGCUAAAUAUUGGCGAGAGACCGAUAGCGAACAAGUACAGUGAUGGAAAGAUGAAAAGAACUUUGAAAAGAGAGUGAAAAAGUACGUGAAAUUGUUGAAAGGGAAGGGCUUGAGAUCAGACUUGGUAUUUUGCGAUCCUUUCCUUCUUGGUUGGGUUCCUCGCAGCUUACUGGGCCAGCAUCGGUUUGGAUGGUAGGAUAAUGACUAAGGAAUGUGGCUCUACUUCGGUGGAGUGUUAUAGCCUUGGUUGAUACUGCCUGUCUAGACCGAGGACUGCGUCUUUUGACUAGGAUGUUGGCAUAAUGAUCUUAAGCCACCCGUCUUGAAACACG
rnacentral:rRNA from 1 species